UAGGUCCUCCCAUAGGAGCUGAAGAUAAGGUUGAAGUAAGGAGGAGGAGAAAAAGUGAACUAAGGGUGAGAUGUGGAGGUCAGGACUGAAGGUAGAGUUGAAGGGCUGUGAUUGAUGGGCAUUCCGGAAGGUGAACAGUACAUACAAAGAAAGACUCAGAGAAAGGAUGGAGCGUGGGAUAUUGGAGGAAGCUAAAAAUCUAUUCUGAUUGAGUUAAGGGAGGUGAUUGUAAGAGGUGGGACUUAGACGACAUCAGUCACCACCAGGACCCCAUUCCAAGCAGAAGAUUCCUCCCUCCUGUGAACUGUCUUUGGAGUCUGUAGCAAAUGGUGUCUGGUUCAAGGGUUUCUAGGAUUGCUGCAGAAGCUUCAUCCUUUUAGAUGGGGUUAGCUCCAUUGGUCAAGGUAAGGGCAGAAAAUGGGGGAGGGCUGAGCCUUGAGCUGCAUGCUUCUCAUGAUGCCUAGAUGCCAAGGAUAAGGAAGGACUCUAGCAGGGGAGGGGUGCAGAACUCAAGUCCAAGAGAAGAGCUGGUCUCUUAUGAGAACAGAAGCCCAGAAAUCCAGGUCUACGUCGGCCAUUAGCAAAGAUUAGCUAGGCCUAAGUUGGUAAUCCUGGACUCUGGGAGGAUGUUCAGAAGGAAGAGAGGAUGUGAAAUGAAGGCCAUUUCAUUUCAUUCUGUCCUUCACAGAGAGGGCAGCUGGGGCCUGGAGAACAGCAACUUCCUCAGAGUGCA
rnacentral:lncRNA from 1 species